AGACUACUGCGCGCGGCCGGCUGCGCAGCGAUAGGGCGCGGCGUCUGCGCCGCCACUUUAUCCCCAGCCGCUCGGCGGCGGGGGCGGCCCGCUGGGUGGGGACGCGCGGGGAGGCGGCGCCGGGGCCCCACGUGUGCCCGGCCCCCGGGGAGGAGCGGGGCACCGCCCGCCGACCUGCCUCGCGCUUUUCCCGGCCGCGUGGGGGACCUUCACGGGGCACUGAACCGAAUUAUGGGGCCCUUCCAGCCCAUGCGCACAGUCGAGAACACAGACCCUCACACUGGUCCCCGGAGCAGAAACACGCUCACUAGAACUGCAUGCACAUGUUUACAGUUGCACACGUGCGAGACCCACAUUCAGAUAGCACAGGUGUAGGCACACCCACAAGGACACAUCCUCAGGACCCUUCCCCAGAUACAAACUACACACAGAGGUACAAGUGAAUGUCACAGUUACUACAUGAAUACAAACACACAGCAUGGACGCACACGCCCUAGACACCAUGCACACAGAUAAAAACAACACACCACACACACAGUGUCAGCGCAGAAACCACAGCUCUCAUCUUACAGGGGAAAAGAUUAUUCUGGAACCAUUUUGAGUGACCAUGAGCUGGAAACACAGAUUUAAGUUACCCCUAAUUCCAUGUUCCUAUGUGAAAGCAGUUUCGGGAAGUUUUUUGGGUUUUUUGGUUUUUGUUUUGUUUUGUUUUUAAAAUAGUUUUACAGAACAGAUAAAGCCAUAUAUCAAGGCAAGUUUAAAAUACAUUGGUGGGUACAACAGAGAGGCAGGUAACAGUGAAAUGGGAAAGUGUUCCUAUAGGCUCAAAAUGCUAUCUGAUAGCAUUGCUAACUUUUGGAUUUGUAGAAGCUAACUAUCGUGUUAAAUCAAUAGUUAAACAGUGUUCAUCUAUUGCCUCAAGAAGUUAGUUCUAACAAAGAGGGUCAAGAAAGAAAUGGCUGUUCCUGAGGGCCCGAACUUAGCCCAAUAUAAAGUAAUUUGCCUCUGGACCUGGAACAUUCCAACCUCUCCAUAGUACUGAAACUUUAAUCAGCCAGCUAAUCUCUGCAGACACAGCUUCCCUUUAGUUUUCCGCCUCAGCAGCAGAAGUAGUUCCUUUCCCCAUGUUUUUGUUCACAACAGAGAAAAACAACACACCAUAUACACCCUGAGAGCUAAAGAUGCGUGACAUUCACGCACAAGCGCUUAGAGCUCUGAGAAGGAAGCAGACAUACUGCAAACCACACACACACACUGCAUGAAACCAUUUCCCCUAGGUGCCCCCAGGAUCCAGGUCCCACUAGCACAGCUGCCUAUGUGGCUGUGGAGUUUGGAAUCCAGCACUGAAUUUACAGCCUGUCCACUGUGUCCUAUGUCUGCCACCUGUGAGUGACAGCUGCAGAGGAAGGAUGACCCCAACCCACACCCAUCUCCUCAGGUUUUCCAGGGCUUUCUUCUUGGCCAACCACUUUGCAAAAUAGCAGGGUUGAAUAGUAUCAUUGUCAGGGCAGCACAGUGGUAGUGUCCACCUAAGGGUCCUACUCUCUAGCACUGUAUGGCUUGGAACUCAUAGAUAUUUACCUGUCUGCAUCCUAAGUGCCACCAUACCCAGAAUAACAUUGGAUUUAUACAAUCAAGAAAAGGGAAUCAACAGCAAAGGAUUGCUGAGCUGCAGAAAUUCUCAUGGAUUGUUGUCUUCUCACACAGCAGAAGACAUCAGGGACCCCUUUCAUUCUGGUAUUCUCACUGCAGAUAGGCUCUGUGAAAUAACAGUUCUUCCCACCCCCCUGCAUAUUUUUAAAAUGUUUUGUUACCUCUUCUGGCCAUGAUAGUGUCUAGUGAUGCCCUCUCCCAUUCUCACAGAUGAUGCCAUUUCCCUCUUAGUACUUUCAAGAUGGCUCUCUGUGUCUGGUUUUCAGAAGUUUCACCAUGUGUCUUGGUGUGGAUUCUUUAGGUUUAUUUUAUGCUUGUUCAGCUUCUCUAAUCUGAAGAAGUCAAGGUUUAUCUCUUGACAAAUUCAGAACAUUUUCACAUGACCAACAUUAUUAUUAUUACAUGGUUUCUCUGUGU
ensembl:antisense Gm26588 predicted gene, 26588